GACGAACGCUGGCGGCGUGCCUAAUACAUGCAAGUCGAGCGAAGCGGCGGAUGGGUUAGUAACGCGUCGUUAACCUUCCCUUAAGUCUGGGAUACCAUUUGUAAACAGAAGCUAAUACCGGAUACUAAAGGAUGGACCUGCGAUGCAUUAGCUAGUUGGUAAGGUAACGGCUUACCAAGGCCAUGAUGCAUUGCCGGGGUGCGAGGCUUGUCGGGCAACUCGGGACUGGGGCAAGGCCCCAACUCCUACGGGAGGGCGCAGGAGGGAAUUUUCCGACAUUGACCAAAGGCUGAUGGGCCCACGCCGGGUGGGCGAAGAAGGUUUUCGGACCGUAAAGCUCUGUUGUUUGUGCAGCGGUAAUCAACCAGAAAGUCCCGGCUAAAUACGUGCCAGCAGCCGGGGUAAUUC
rnacentral:rRNA from 1 species